GGCGACCAACACGCAUCCAGUCUCCGCCAUGGGAAUAGGGUGUGCCCAUUUUGAACCAAGCCGGUGGGACGGAUCACAGGAGACUGGAUCCAGGGUAUGAGAGUCAGAAUCUAGCAAUGGCACCUGCCCUCGAGCCACUAGAUUGGCUCUGAAAUCUCUCCAGUCUAAUAGUGAGUUGCGGGACCUGUGGGUCAAGUCGUCCAACUUUGAUUUGUCAUGGUCUGGAUUGAUUCCCUCAGAGCCAUCUCCAUC
rnacentral:misc_RNA from 1 species